GGGCAUUUGGCGCAGUAGGUAGCGCGUGGGUCUGAUAAUCCCAAGGUCUCGAGUUCGAACCUCUCAAUUCCCA
rnacentral:tRNA from 1 species